CACGUAGGGGGCAAGCGUUGUCCGGAUUCAUUGGGCGUAAAGAGCUCGUAGGCGGUUCGAUAAGUCGGGUGUGAAACCUCCAGGCUCAACCUGGAGACGCCACCCGAUACUGUCGUGACUAGAGUCCAGUAGGGGAGCGUGGAAUUCCUGGUGUAGCGGUGAAAUGCGCAGAUAUCAGGAGGAACACCAGCGGCGAAGGCGGCGUCCUGGCUCGCAUCUGACGCUCAGACACGACAGCAUGGGGAGCGAACGGG
rnacentral:rRNA from 1 species